rnacentral:rRNA from 1 species
UACGAAGGGGGCUAGCGUUGCUCGGAAUUACUGGGCGUAAAGCGCACGCAGGCGGUCUGUUAAGUCAGAUGUGAAAUCCCCGGGCUCAACCCGGGAACUGCAUUUGAAACUGGCAGGCUGGAGUCUCGUAGAGGGGGGUGGAAUUCCAGGUGUAGCGGUGAAAUGCGUAGAGAUCUGGAGGAAUACCGGUGGCGAAGGCGGCCCCCUGGACGAAGACUGACGCUCAGGUGCGAAAGCGUGGGGAGCAAACAGG